rnacentral:rRNA from 1 species
GACGAACCGAGCGAACGUUAUUCGGAAUCACUGGGCUUAAAGGGCGCGUAGGCGGCUUGCCAAGUCAGGGGUGAAAUCUUUCGGCUCAACCGGAAAAGUGCUUCUGAUACUGGCGGGCUGGAGGGGGGUAGGGGCAGAUGGAACUUCCGGUGGAGCGGUGAAAUGCGUAGAUAUCGGAAGGAACGCCGGUGGCGAAAGCGAUCUGCUGGACCCCUUCUGACGCUGAGGCGCGAAAGCCAGGGGAGCGAACGGG